rnacentral:lncRNA from 1 species
CGCUCACCGGUGUAACACCACCACAGAACCACCGUGCCUCCGUCGUCCGCCGCCGACCGGAAAUGGCCUCUGCCGGUGGCAAGUCUCCAAUGAACCCCAAAUUAACACCAUGUGCUCCCCUUCUCCUCCUCUUUCCAACCCCCUAAACCACGAGCCUCUAAUAUCAACCGAUCACCUACAAUAUUAGUUUAAAGAUCUGACUGGUCUGCCGUCUACGGCGUCAAUGGCUCAGACGGCCACCAAAAACACACCCUAGCAUCUCCUUUGCCUCCUCUACAUGAAUCUGAAUCCCACUCCCCUCGAAUCAUAAUACAAUUUCUCCAAUUUUGAUUCAAAAAAUCCGGCCAAAGCACAACCUCUUCCAAACUCCGCCAAAUCAACACCAUAUAGUCCUCUUGCCCUCCUCAUCCCAAAUCUGCAACCUAUGGCUCUCAAAUCGCCCCCAUUUGGUUCGAAUAUCAAAUCAAAAUCGUCCAGAACCCUUCAAGCAUGUAUCUGGAUUCCUGGCCUCGAAAACUUAAGCUAAGUUAUCUUCUAGUUUCUCUAUUAAUUUUAUUAUUUUCUUCUAGUUUCUCUGUUAAUCUAAGUUAUCCUCUAGUUUCUUUAUUAAUUUUAGUCUUCUUCUAGUUUCUCUGUUAAUCUAAGUUGUCCUAUAGUUUCUCUGUUAAUUUUAGUUGUGUAAUAGAUUUAAUUUUUAUUUUAGUUGGUUCUGUUUCCCUGCUUUGAUAUAUGCUUCAUUUACCUUAGUCUAGUCUUUCAAUCUCAAUUGUUAUUGAUAAGCUAUUUGGAAGGUAGUUUUUGUUUUAGUAUGUUUUAUUCACGAUUGUUUCCUUCGUUUCUAUUUUGACCUUAAUACAUUCAUUAGUUUUGGUUUAAGUCGGGAUGAAGUUCAGUGUUUGUUCAUGGUCUUUAUUUGAUGAAUAAUAAUUGCCUGCCAGUCCUCUUGUGGUUGUUAAUAUAAUGUCAAG